GACCCAAUUCUUUCCAAACUU
rnacentral:misc_RNA from 1 species